rnacentral:piRNA from 1 species
UAGCUGGCAAGUGAACUGAGGGAAUCAGUCU